rnacentral:rRNA from 1 species
CGACCAGACUCCUACGGGAGGCAGCAGUGGGGAAUAUUGCACAAUGGGGGAAACCCUGAUGCAGCAACGCCGCGUGAGUGAAGAAGUCAUUCGUGCUGUAAAGCUCUAUCAGCAGGGAAGAAAAUGACGGUACCUGAGUAAGAAGCCCCGGCUAACUACGUGCCAGCAGCCGCGGUAAUACGUAGGGGGCAAGCGUUAUCCGGAUUUACUGGGUGUAAAGGGAGCGUAGACGGCCAGACAAGUCUGAAGUGAAAAUCCAGCGCUUAACGUUGGAAGUGCUUUGGAAACUGCCGGGCUAGAGUGCAGGAGGGGCAGGCGGAAUUCCUAGUGUAGCGGUGAAAUGCGUAGAUAUUAGGAGGAACCCCAGUGGCGAAGGCGACUUUCUGGACUGUACCUGACGCUGAGGCGCGAAAGCGUGGGUAGCGAACGGGAUUAGAUACCCGCGUA